rnacentral:rRNA from 1 species
GUAGGUGGCAAGCGUUGUCCGGAAUUAUUGGGCGUAAAGCGCGCGCAGGCGGUCCUUUAAGUCUGAUGUGAAAGCCCACGGCUCAACCGUGGAGGGUCAUUGGAAACUGGGGGACUUGAGUACAGAAGAGGAAAGCGGAAUUCCAAGUGUAGCGGUGAAAUGCGUAGAGAUUUGGAGGAACACCAGUGGCGAAGGCGGCUUUCUGGUCUGUAACUGACGCUGAGGCGCGAAAGCGUGGGGAGCAAACAGGGAUUAGAUACCCUGGUAGUCCACGCCGUAAACGAUGAGUGCUAAGUGUUAGGGGGUUUCCGCCCCUUAGUGCUGCAGCUAACGCAUUAAGCACUCCGCCUGGGGAUACGGCCGCAAGGCUG